UCUAAAGCUCUGCAUUUAGCUGCCUGUGAC
rnacentral:piRNA from 1 species